rnacentral:rRNA from 1 species
UACGGAGGGGGCUAGCGUUUUUCGGAAUUACUGGGCGUAAAGGGCGCGCAGGCGGCUGCUCAAGUCAGGCGUGAAAGGCCUGGGCUCAACCCGGGAAUUGCGCUUGAGACUGGGCUGGCUUGAGUGCGGGAGAGGAUGGUGGAAUUCCCAGUGUAGAGGUGAAAUUUGUAGAUAUUGGGAAGAACACCGGUGGCGAAGGCGGCCAUCUUGACCGCAACUGACGCUGAGGCGCGAAACCGUGGGGAGCAAACAGG